rnacentral:rRNA from 1 species
UACGUAUGGAGCAAGCGUUAUCCGGAUUUACUGGGUGUAAAGGGAGCGUAGGCGGCUCUGUAAGUCUGAUGUGAAAAUUUGGGGCUCAACCCCAAACGUGCAUUGGAAACUGCAGGGCUUGAGUGCCGGAGAGGCAGGCGGAAUUCCUAGUGUAGCGGUGAAAUGCGUAAAUAUUAGGAGGAACACCAGUGGCGAAGGCGGCCUGCUGGACGGUAACUGACGCUGAGGCUCGAAAGCGUGGGGAGCAAACAGG